AUGAAUCUGAAGAGAACGCUUGGAAAAUUGCAUGAGUGGAGUAACACUUAUAUUGGAUAUCUACCCAGGAAACUUGAUUUGGCGAGGAAAAGACUUAAUAGCCUUUACAAAAGAAAUGACAAUGCAGCCUUGAUGGAAAGGAAGGUGAUUCUGAAGGAAAUGGAUGAGCUCCUUUAUAAAGAAGAAAUGUUAUGGAAGCAAAGAUCGUGGAUUGAUAAAAUUAAAUGGGGGGACAGGAACACAAAAUUCUUCAGAUCUAAGGCUACCUGGAGAGCUAAGAAAAAUAAUAUCUCAAGCUUGAGAAGGAAUGAUGGCUCGGUUACAGAGAAUGUGGCUGAGAUCCAUAAUAUCACUAAUUCUUUUUUAAGCAUCUAUACACAUGUGAUGGUACGGUUGAUCCUUCUCUGA
rnacentral:rRNA from 1 species